rnacentral:rRNA from 1 species
UACGUAGGUGGCGAGCGUUGUCCGGAAUUACUGGGCGUAAAGAGCGCGUAGGCGGGGAUUUAAGUCAGGAGUGAAAACUAUCGGCUCAACCGGUAGCCUGCUCAUGAAACUGGAAUUCUUGAGGGUAUGAGAGGAGAGCGGAAUUCCCAGUGUAGCGGUGAAAUGCGUAGAUAUUGGGAGGAACACCAGUGGCGAAGGCGGCUUUCUGGCAUACAACUGACGCUGAGGCGCGAAAGCGGGGGGAG